rnacentral:lncRNA from 1 species
AAUGAAUUGGCACGAACUACUGUAAUUUCACAGCAAGUUGCGAACUGAGGUAUCCAUGACUCCAUCGGCAGUGUGCUCAUCCGUAGACACAAUGAUAAAAAGAGAAACUGUUAUAUCGGCUUAUUAAUUACAAAAUGAAUUCUAUUCAACACAUUGAACUAUUGAUUCCAGUGGAUUCCACUAUACAAGGAGCUUAAAGAAGCGUCAACAGAGGAAGCAAGAAAGAAAAUCAUUGAGAGAAUAUGUGAAGGUUUGGUCUUGUUGGAUGAGGCUUUUAUCAACUGUAGCAAAGGGAAACCCUUUUAUGGUGGAGAUAAUAUCGGUUACCUUGAUAUUGCACUAGGUUCCUACAUGGGAUGGCUUAAAGCGACAGAGGAAAUAAAUGGCAGGAAAUUUCUUGAUCAACACAAGACCCCGAGCUUGGCACAAAGGGCGGAGAAAUUUUGUUCACAUGAUGCUUUUAAAGAAGUCGUGCCAAAGACUCAGAAGCUAAUGGAAAUUAAUAAAAUGGUCCAAGGCAGGGAAAAACAGCUUCUGUUUGAUAACGCAUAAGAUGAUUAUAG